ensembl:snoRNA
AUCCUUUUGUAGUUCGUAAGAUUGAAGAUUGACUUUUCAUGCACAUGUGUGAGAUGUGCCACCCUCAUCCCAAACCUUGUUAUGACGUCCACACGUUACCCAUCUGACA